AUUUCAAUUAUUGUAGAAUUGUGUAUGUAUCUUUGGCUGAAUUUUUCUUUUUAUUUGUUUACCAUAGGUGAGAAAGGUGUUGGUAAGAACACAGAGAAACCUCUCCAUUACAAAGGAGCUCCAUUUCACAGAGUUGUGAAAAAUUUUAUGAUACAAGGAGGAGAUUUUGUUUCUGGUAAUGGCACUGGUGGCGAAUCUAUUUAUGGUGGUCAAUUCAAAG